CCUCGGAUAGCAUAGCGGGAGAGUCUCUGGCUGUCAACUAAAAGUUCUGGGUUCAAUUCCCGGUCGAAAGU
rnacentral:tRNA from 1 species